rfam:Sulfitobacter sp. H3 contig3, whole genome shotgun sequence.
GGGGACCUUCGGGGCCCUACAACCACGGCGACUUCGGUCGCUGACAAGCAAAACGGAAGACAGCAA